rnacentral:rRNA from 1 species
CCCCUUAGACUGGGAUAACUCCGGGAAACCGGAGCUAAUACGGGAUAAUAAAGAGAAUCACCUGAUUCUCUUUUGAAAGACGGUUUCGGCUGUCACUAAGGGAUGGGCCUGCGGCGCAUUAGCUAGUUGGUAAGGUAACGGCUUACCAAGGCGACGAUGCGUAGCCGACCUGAGAGGGUGAUCGGCCACACUGGGACUGAGACACGGCCCAGACUCCUACGGGAGGCAGCAGUAGGGAAUCUUCCGCAAUGGACGAAAGUCUGACGGAGCAACGCCGCGUGAGUGAGGAAGGCCUUCGGGUCGUAAAGCUCUGUUGUGAGGGAAGAACAAGUACCGGCGUAACUACCGGUACCUUGACGGUACCUCACCAGAAAGCCACGGCUAACUACGUGCCAGCAGCCGCGGUAAUACGUAGGUGGCAAGCGUUGUCCGGAAUUAUUGGGCGUAAAGCGCGCGCAGGCGGCUUCUUAAGUCUGAUGUGAAAUCUCGGGGCUCAACCCCGAGCGGCCAUUGGAAACUGGGAAGCUUGAGUGCAGAAGAGGAGAGUGGAAUUCCACGUGUAGCGGUGAAAUGCGUAGAUAUGUGGAGGAACACCAGUGGCGAAGGCGACUCUCUGGUCUGUAACUGACGC